GCCGCGUUGGUGUUGAGGUGCACGUGCGUCUGAAUUGUAAGUGUCUUUUUGAACACUUCUUUACGGUCAAGGUGAAACAAGACUGCUGAAACUCCACCGGAAGGCUGCACUCAAAGGCUCGGCAGCGUGCGUUCCUCGUGUCCGUGGAGAUGCCGCUGCUGAGGUGCUGCUGGAGGCCCCCCAGGAUAGGUUGUGGAUCAUGUUUCUGGUUCUAAGUUUAAGAGACUUCGUGAUGUCAUGGACUGAACAUAAGGGGCAUGAAGGGGCAGCGCUCAGACCUGCUUUGUGUUGUAAUCCUCGUAUCAUGCUUGGCUGCUCCUGUUUCUCUUCUGUAAAGCCAAGGAACUCCAGCAAGCCUCCCGUGCUGCCUCUAGGGAACACCUGGGAAAAUUUGCCUUUACCGUGACCAGCAAGCAUCACUCGGACUCCCGCAGGACCUGAUUAGCAUGCACAGAUCUUCAGGUUCCCAGGGCGUGCAGGCAGCCGGCGGAGGCGUAAGGCUCAGGGGUUGAGAGGGGCCACGGCGACUCGCUGCCGAUUUAUAUGUUGGUCCACCGCUCCGCCAUUUGUCGCUGAUUUGCUGGUGUGCCGCUGCCACCGCACCCGUGGACUGAUUGCCGCCUUCGUGAGUCUUAACGGGGCCACCAAACCAAGUAUUUACGAGGCUGCUUGGGGACUAAUGACAGCUGUUGUUCUCCACGCGUCUCUGCACAGCUGGAGAAACUGGAUCAUAGGACUUCCUGCAUGCCUUUCUGGAGUCACGGCAGCGAGGAUGCUUUGGAAAUGUUCCCGCCGUGCCUGGGCCGCCGCGCUGCUGGGAAUGACUUACCCGCCGCCUGCCUGCUGCUGGGAAAAUAAAAGUCACACCCCGGCCGUCGCUGCGCUGGGUACACAGCACGCAGGUGGUGCGGGCGUCGCGGCGCUCGGCCAGGUGGUUCAAUUCUACAAAUUGAUAAUCAGUACUAUCAGAAUAAUUUGAAUUUUAUGAAGGCCUGCACACCUUUUCAUUAAAGGUAAUCAGAGUUUUCAUAAAGGUAAUUAAUUUUUAUAUUGGUGAUAAAUUUUCAUGAUUGCAAGUAGAGUGUUUGUAAGGGUAAUAUGUGAAGGUAAUUAAAACUAUUAAUAAGGUAAUUACAGCUUUCAUAAACGUAAUCAGAUAUUUGUAUAAAACUUUACACCUGAUAAGAUUUCGCAAUGAGGUGUUUGAUGUUUUGCUCACACAGGUGUGUCUCUUGUGCCGGUGAUACCUGUGUGCGUGUGCGUAUGUUUGUUUGUACCUACUGCCAUACACAACCUGAGUAGCGUACACACAGCCUGACAGGUUACUGGGCACGGUGGGUGACGAGGCUUCCAGGUGCCACCACGGCCCAUCUGGCUACGAGCAAGUGACCGCUGCUUCACAAAUACACCGAGAAGCCGUCACUGUGUGUGUGUGUGUGUGUGUGUGUGUGUGAUUAUUCUUUCAUGAACAGAUUUAUGGCGGUCGCCUGCGGGAAGCGUUCCAUUGUUUAAGAUUCAAUCGCUUCAUGUCGCACUGAGGAGAAUCCCGUACCGCUGCAUUGACCCAUUGAGGAACGGACGAAAAUUUACGGAAAACGAGCCUAGGUGAGCUGAGUGGUACCCGUAGCCGCGCGUCACUCGUGUCUUCAGUAGUCACUAAGUUAGCAAGGUAUCUUACACCUGAGACUAGCUCCUCCCCUCUCAAAGCACCUUCACACACUUGCAGCUCCUCUUAGUCCCCUAUGCAAUGCGAAAU